rnacentral:lncRNA from 1 species
CCGAGUUCGAGUUUCGAAUGAAGUACAGAGAAAUUUUCAUAGCCGAAGUUGCUCCCUCGAUUUUCGUGCUUGGCGGUUGCCAGAUAUUUGACGUUCGGCAUGCGGGUACUGGAGCCUUUUCGGAAAAGAUUUCUUCUUUUCGGAAUUCCCGCCAGGACGUGGCUCUAGGUACGGCGUAAUAAUGACUUUGCCAGCCGCCUGCCGUUUCCAACAACCUGUCAAGGUGGGUGGGACACGCGGCGAACACAGAUCGGCCAACGGAGAUUCGAAAUCAUAAGUGCGUCGGAUCCCGGGGUCUAUUUAAACACGUUCUCCCCCUUCGUGGGUUUCACCUUGCUUGAGAGAAUCCCUCGGUUCCCUUCUUUUCCGAGAGCUCCAGUUUCUUCUAGCAUCCUUUCCGGUCUUAAGCGUCUGUCGAGUCGACCUCCAUCGUUCUCGCCGUUCCCCUGUGCUCUUGGGGUUGAACUAGGUUAGUUCCGGAACUUCCUGUUGCUUUCCCGUCCUUUCUUCUUCGUAUUCUGUUUACUUAGCUUUCUCGGGGGCCCGCCUGCUAUUUUUCUCAAUUUUUCGGGAUUUCGUGGCUUCUGUUUGAUCUAAGAUGUCCUCUGAUGUCUCCUCUUCUAGUAGUUCUAGAAGUUCGUCAGCCCCAGUUCCCCAUGGUACCGGUACUGUAGACAAACCCGUAGCUAGGGCCGAACCUUGUCCGGCCUUUGCGCCGGACACCAUCCCCGGUUCCUUGACUCCGGAUGAACUCUCACUGAUAAGGAUUCAGUAUGGAGUUCCUCCGGAGUACGAGCUGGAGCUUCCCG